rnacentral:lncRNA from 10 species
ACCCAAGUAGCUGGGACCACAGGCGCCUGCCACCAUGCCCAGCUAAUUUUUUUGUAUUUUUAGUAGAGACGGGGUUUCACCGUAGCCAGAAUGGUCUCAAUCUCCUGACCCCGUGAUCCGCCUGCCUCAGCCUCCCAAAGUGCUGGGAUUACAGGCAUGAGCCACAGUGCCCAGCCUGUUAAAUGUAUUUCUAGAUAUUUUAUUUUUGCAUGUGUGUGGCUAUAAUAGAUAGAAUUGGAUUCUUGAUUUUGUUCUCAGCUUGAAUGUUACUGGCGUUUAGAAAUGCUACUGCUUUUUGUACACUGAUUUUUGUAUCCUGAUUUUUGUAUCCUGAAACUUCUCUGUAGUCAUUUAGUAUGAGUCUUUGGAUGGAAUCUUUAGGGUUUUCUAGGUAUAUGAUUAUAUAGUCAACAUCCCUUCAUAACAAAAAUCCUCAACAAACUAGCAUCAAAGGAGCAUACUUCAAAAUACUAAAAGCCGUCUAUGACAACCCUACAGCCAACAUCAUACUGAACGGGCAAAACUGGAAGCAUUUGCCUUAAGAACUGGAACAAGACAAGUGUAACUAGAAAGGAAACUUGAAAUGACACCAACGCAUGAAAAAUGAUAAACACUCAAGGUGAUGGAUACUCCAAAUAACCUGACUUGAUCACUAAAUUCUAUGCAGAGGAAGAAUUUCUAAGCAUGACCUAUCUGCCAGUUAAAAUCAAUUAAGUACCAAGAGAGUCAUCAACUGGCCCAGGGCUGAAAUCCAUUGUAAAACUCCCUGGAAAAUUCGAACAAAAAAAAUGCUAAUUUCUCACCAUAGAGGGGGAGCAGCCUUUUAAUUGGAUCAGAUUAUUAUUUUAACUCCUGGAUUUUGAAGACUGACCAUAACAGUAAGUACCUCCAAUAAAUUUCAACCCAAUCAAUGUGACUCAAAGAUUAGAAAACUCUGCCAUUCUUUUCCCUGACAGGUAGCAAGGAUCAGUGAACUAAAAGAUGGCUGGUGUCAGAAGUAUUGAAUAGUGUUCGUGAGACAGUACCUGCAGGGAAGCCUCGCAAAAAUUACAGAACUUCUCUGGGCCUCCACUUUCUCUAUUAAAAAAAUAAUAUUUUGUAGAGACAGAAUUUAUAUGAUGACUUUGACAGGUCUAUAACAAGCAUAAACACAUACAUAUGUAUACAUAUAUGUGUGUGUGCAUUUUUUAACUUCUCACCUCAGGUCUUAAUUUCAUUAGAAGAUUGGUAAUAAAUAACACAAAAAGAUAAGUAUAUUCUUUCUAAUGUCUACUUCCUUCUUUCGGGGGGAUCUGGGCAUAAAGCUGAUCACCAUUUUCUUUCUUUUUUCUUUGUUUUCUUUUUGAGAUGGGGUCUCACUCUGUUGCCCAGGCUGGAGUGCAGUGGCAUGAUCUCGGAUCACUGCAAUCUCCGCUUCCCAGGUUCAAGUGAUUCUCCUACCUCAGUCUCCUGAGUAGCUG